AAUUUUGAGAUCUAACCGUAGACAGCGGGUGCCGAAAAGGCUUAAUUUCCCGCCGAGGUACAAUAUAUAGAUAUUGACCCUGUCUUACGGCAGGGUUUUUUACAUUUA
rnacentral:sRNA from 1 species